AGAGAUUGGGUUUCUUGACCAGCAUCUCCUAGUACGUCUGCUGCAGCACAAAGGCCUCAGCAGUCAUUGGAAGGGAUGUGGCCAAAAACACUUUUCAGGACAGGAUGAAGGAUAUCAAGCUAGCAGACAGGAGCCCAAGACACUAACAGUCAACAACAACAGUCAACAGUCACAGUAUCACAGAAUCACUGAGGUUGGCAGGAGCCUCUGGAGAUCAUCUGGUC
rnacentral:lncRNA from 1 species